rnacentral:rRNA from 1 species
GGGGAAUAUUGGACAAUGGGCGCAAGCCUGAUCCAGCCAUGCCGCGUGUGUGAAGAAGGCCCUCGGGUUGUAAAGCACUUUCAGUGAGGAAGAACGCCUGUCGGCGAAUACCCGACAGGGAAGACAUCACUCACAGAAGAAGCACCGGCUAACUCCGUGCCAGCAGCCGCGGUAAUACGGAGGGUGCGAGCGUUAAUCGGAAUUACUGGGCGUAAAGCGCGCGUAGGUGGCGUGAUCAGCCGGUUGUGAAAGCCCCGGGCUCAACCUGGGAAUGGCAUCCGGAACUGUCACGCUAGAGUGCAGGAGAGGAAGGUAGAAUUCCCGGUGUAGCGGUGAAAUGCGUAGAGAUCGGGAGGAAUACCAGUGGCGAAGGCGGCCUUCUGGACUGACACUGACACUGAGGUGCGAAAGCGUGGGUAGCAAAC